rnacentral:rRNA from 1 species
AUUGAACGCUGGCGGCAUGCUUUACACAUGCAAGUCGAACGGCAGCACAGGGAGCUUGCUCCUGGGUGGCGAGUGGCGAACGGGUGAGUAAUGUAUCGGAACGUGCCUGGUAGUGGGGGAUAACUACUCGAAAGAGUGGCUAAUACCGCAUGAGAUCUUUGGAUGAAAGCGGGGGACCUUCGGGCCUCGUGCUACUGGAGCGGCCGAUAUCAGAUUAGGUUGUUGGUGGGGUAAAGGCCUACCAAGCCUGCGAUCUGUAGCUGGUCUGAGAGGACGACCAGCCACACUGGGACUGAGACACGGCCCAGACUCCUACGGGAGGCAGCAGUGGGGAAUUUUGGACAAUGGGCGCAAGCCUGAUUCAGCAAUGCCGCGUGCAGGACGAAGGCCUUCGGGUUGUAAACUGCUUUUGUACAGAACGAAAAGUCUCUGGCUAAUAUCUAGAGAUCAUGACGGUACUGUAAGAAUAAGCACCGGCUAACUACGUG